rnacentral:tRNA from 1 species
GACCCGAUGGCGCAGUGGUAAGCGCGUCCAUUUACUCAAGUUCGGGAAGGCUCCUGUUCGAUUCAGGAUCGGGUCG